rnacentral:rRNA from 1 species
GAUGAACGCUGGCGGCGUGCUUAACACAUGCAAGUCGAGCGGGCAAUUUAUCUAGCACUGAUUACUUCAAAUGGAAAUCAUAAGUGUAAUCAUGAAUUUCUACCUUUAAUAAAGAAAAAAGAAAUUCAUGUACGCAAAUAGUGAUAACACAUUUUAGUGAAGUGAUGAGUGCUGGAUAAAUUGCUAGCGGCGGACGGGUGCGUAACACGUGGGUAACCUGCCCCUAUCACUGGGAUAACACACUGAAAAGUGUGCUAAUACCAGAUAAUAUAAGCUUUUGGCAUCAUUAGCUUAUCAAAGAAUUUCGGAUAGGGAUGGGCCCGCGUCUGAUUAGCUAGUUGGUGAGGUAACGGCUCACCAAGGCAACGAUCAGUAGCCGACCUGAGAGGGUGAUCGGCCACACUGGAACUGAGACACGGUCCAGACUCCUACGGGAGGCAGCAGUGGGGAAUAUUGCACAAUG